UACAGAGGGGGCAAGCGUUGUUCGGAAUUACUGGGCGUAAAGGGCGCGUAGGCGGCCUUCUAAGUCGAACGUGAAAUCCCCGGGCUCAACCCGGGAACUGCGUCCGAUACUGGAUGGCUUGAGUUUGGGAGAGGGAUGCGGAAUUCCAGGUGUAGCGGUGAAAUGCGUAGAUAUCUGGAGGAACACCGGUGGCAAAGGCGGCAUCCUGGACCAACACUGACGCUGAGGAGCGAAAGCCAGGGGAGCAAACGGG
rnacentral:rRNA from 1 species